rnacentral:rRNA from 1 species
UCCAUCGUAGGCUUGCUGGAUGGUGAUGGGUUGGAUGAGAUUUACCAUGAGGCCUUAAUACUAAGUUAUCCAGGUGUGGUUGAAUUGACAACUCAACCGCUAAUACUUGAGAUGCCCAAACGCGCAGAUGCCCACAAGCUCGGCGACUAUCGGCCAAUAUGUCUCAUUCACAUAGUGGCCAAGAUCUUCGUGAAGGUCCUGUCAUUGUGCCUUGCUCCCAAGCUCGACACCCUUGUCAGCCGCAACCAAAACGCGUUCAUUGCCGGACGUAGCCUCCAUGACAACUUCAUUCUCGUCCGGCAAUCCCUCAAGAUGCUGGAUCAACUUGGUGCGCCCAGGAUCAUGCUCAAGCUCGACCUCACGCGUGCCUUCGACUCCAUCUCAUGGCCCUUCCUCUUCGACGUGCUACGCCAGUAUGGGUUUGGGGACAGGUUCAGGGAGUGGCUAGCCAUCUUGCUGUCCUCGGCAAGAACCAGUGUCAUGCUCAACAGUGUUCCUGGCCCGUCAAUCUGGCAUCGCCGCGAACUGAGACGGGGCGAUUCAACCUCCCCGCAGCUCUUCGUGCUCGCGGUGGACACACUUGGGAGGUUGAUGCGUCGCGCCCUCCAGACAGGCAUCCUCCAGCAGCUGCAUCCCCGGUGCGCCAUCCCGGCGAUCUCUCUCUACGUCGAUGACGUGAUGCUCUUUUGCCAUGCCAAUGCCAAGGAGAUAUCCGCUAUCAAAGGCAUCCUCGGCGUGUUCGGCAUGGCGUCCGGGCUGUUCGAACUGCUUGGGUGCAUACACGGCGAUGAUUCAACGACAGGGCUGUUCGAACUGCUUGGGUGCCCGGUCGUGACCCUG